UGGGGAAUAUUGCACAAUGGGCGCAAGCCUGAUGCAGCCAUGCCGCGUGUAUGAAGAAGGCCUUCGGGUUGUAAAGUACUUUCAGCGAGGAGGAAGGCGUUGUGGUUAAUAACCGCAACGAUUGACGUUACUCGCAGAAGAAGCACCGGCUAACUCCGUGCCAGCAGCCGCGGUAAUACGGAGGGUGCAAGCGUUAAUCGGAAUUACUGGGCGUAAAGCGCACGCAGGCGGUCUGUCAAGUCGGAUGUGGAAUCCCCGGGCUCAACCUGGGAACUGCAUCCGAAACUGGCAGGCUAGAGUCUUGUAGAGGGGGGUAGAAUUCCAGGUGUAGCGGUGAAAUGCGUAGAGAUCUGGAGGAAUACCGGUGGCGAAGGCGGCCCCCUGGACAAAGACUGACGCUCAGGUGCGAAAGCGUGGGGAGCAAACA
rnacentral:rRNA from 1 species